CGCGACUCCGGCGGCAGCCAGUUCUUCCUCGUCUACCAGGACAGCCAGCUGCCGCCCGACUACACCCCGUUCGGC
rnacentral:tRNA from 1 species